rnacentral:tRNA from 1 species
GGGGCACUAGCUCAGUCGGCUAGAGCACUAGACUUUUAAUCUAGGUGUCCCGGGUUCGAGUCCCGGGUGCCUCA